rnacentral:rRNA from 1 species
GAUGAACGCUGGCGGCGUGCCUAAUACAUGCAAGUCGAGCGAACAGACGAGGAGCUUGCUCCUCUGACGUUAGCGGCGGACGGGUGAGUAACACGUGGAUAACCUACCUAUAAGACUGGGAUAACUUCGGGAAACCGGAGCUAAUACCGGAUAAUAUAUUGAACCGCAUGGUUCAAUAGUGAAAGACGGUUUUGCUGUCACUUAUAGAUGGAUCCGCGCCGCAUUAGCUAGUUGGUAAGGUAACGGCUUACCAAGGCAACGAUGCGUAGCCGACCUGAGAGGGUGAUCGGCCACACUGGAACUGAGACACGGUCCAGACUCCUACGGGAGGCUGCAGUAGGGAAUCUUCCGCAAUGGGCGAAAGCCUGACGGAGCAACGCCGCGUGAGUGAUGAAGGUCUUCGGAUCGCAAAACUCUGUUAUUAGGGAAGAACAAAUGUGUAAGUAACUAUGCACGUCUUGACGGUACCUAAUCAGAAAGCCACGGCUAACUACGUG